GGGGAGGGGGGAGAGGCGGAGACUUGGGCAGCCGGCAGGCUUAGCUUCCCCUGGCAGUCUGACCCACACUCCCCACGCCCAGGACCAAGUCGCCUGAGCCCCAUAGCCACAACUCUCUGCCGGCCUUGCCCGGGCUUGCCUUCGGUUGCAUCAUCUCCCAGCUUUGCCAGGGGUGCAGAAGUGAACCACCCACUCAGCGCUGGAAAAACCAGCUAAUUAUAUCUCCAAAGACCCAGGGCAAGAACUUGUGGACAACCUCAGCUGGCCUGGCCUGUCCCACUCGCUUUCCAUUUCCCCCCACCCUGAGACAGGAUGCCACUGUGUAGCCCAGUGUAGUGAACACUUGGAAUACAAAAUAAAGAUGGUGGAAUGAGACAUUCCGUCUCCAGUUCCUAACAUCAGAAGUGAGCACCUGUGUGUCACCAGCAACAUAUUGGAGGCCAGCUGCCUACACCAAUCAGAAACAGGGACCACAAAGUCUGCAGGGGUGAGAUAGGCCUUUUCAGUGUCUACGAUUUCAUCAUGGACAUUACUGUCGAUUUCUCUUCCUGCCCCUGUAUGUGCGGGUCUAUCGCCAUCUCGCCAUCUCCGGCUCCUGUGUUAUGAAGACAGUCUCAUGCAGCCCAGACCAAUCUCAAAUUGACUAGGUAAACUGAGGCUGGCCUUGAACCAGUCCCUCCUGCCUCUAUCUCCUGAGAGCUGGGUAACAGCUUCUGGAGCCUCACCCAGCUUCGCUUUCACCACCCCAGCCAAUCCUGUGACUCCUCUUCAUAGCGAGAGCAUUGACACUUAUGUUCUGAGUGUGAAAAAAAAAAAAAAAUCACAUAGUACUUCCUACUAGAACCUUGCCCGGGUCAACUGAAGUGUGUGUGUUUGCUUACCAGUCUGCAGGUUUGCUUAAGUUUGUUUAUUUUAGAGACCAGGUCUUGCUCUGUUGCCUAAGCCAACUUGAAACUCUUGGGCUCCAACAGUUCUCCUGCUCCAUCUUUCUAGAGCAGCUGGGACUCUAGGCAUGCUCCACUACAGCUGACUGAAGCUUGAAUGAAUGAAUGAAUGAAUGAAUGAGUUACUACCUCUGAGGGACCCUCCUCAUGGCCUUCUCAACUCUGUACUUUAAUUAGUUGCUUAGAGGUGUCUCCAUGCCUCAGUUUCCCCAUCUGUAAUAGUAAACGAGUUCACAGGCGUGGUCUGUGCUUGGAGCAAGAACAAAACCAUCCUGGCCUAUACUCUCUAGGGACUCUACAGAGCCCAUCCCUUUGGCUAUCAGACUGUUGAGAUAAAGGUUCCCCCAGGAAUCGGAAUCCCCUCCGACAGGAGUCUCAUGCUCAGAGAAGAAAAAAAGCUGAAGCCUGCUGACAGCCAGAGAGGGUACUUGUCUGUCAGGGAAAAAUUCUACACAGGACAGACUGGAGCCCAGACUGGUCUGGGUCAGUGACACACGGCACAGCACACGGUGGGACAACCUGGCUGUGCAUCUCUCUCAAACCUCAACCUCAGUCUGAAGAUGGAUUGGGGGGGGGGGUCCCUGGACCUCAUUACUUGUCACCCUUCUCACUGUGGCCACAGCGAAGCGAAUACAUCUCUCUGCUUUUCACUACGUAGCUCCAUCAUUGCCUUGGGGGGGGGUAGCGAGGAAGGUCACUGGGGCCCUGCCUCUGAUAAGAAGAACGAGCAAUUAUGAUUUCCAGGAACCGAGGGUGCUCUUGCUGUUCAGUGUCUCCAGCACCCCCGGAGACCCCAGGGCUGCCGUCAAGGGUGUUCAAUAAACACGUAUCGAUUGAGCCAACAAUGCCAGAAUUGGACCUGCAGAGGAGAAAAUGGACAAACAAGACAGUGAGCCUGCAGGUGAGACCAGAACUGGAGCCAACAAUCUACCUCUCUCUCCCAACCCUAGCAACGCCAGCAGCUCUCUGGGCGAGGGGCACAGUUGCUUCCAGUUGGCAGAACCAGUCUCCCAGCUUCCCUUCAGAACCCAGCACCUGCUGAGCCACCGACCCACGGACUGUCUCUCUCUGGAAGGCAGCCACCGACCCACGGACUGUCUCUCUCUGGAAGGCAGUUCACCUCUGGGUUUCAACACUGCCCUUUCCCCUUUCCUUCUUUAGCCCUUAGGAAUCCCUGAAAGCUUCCUGUGCUUGUGGCUUCUGUGACUUCUCAACAUCUCUUGUGCACACACACACACACACACACACACACACACCAGCCUGUGUCUAAGCAGUUCAUCCUGUACAAUGUCUCUCUGAUAAAAUAACUGAUUCCAUUUCUGUCACCUGCUGAGGCUCCAGCAGCUCUGCCCUCAGACCUCUUAAAGCUGAGGCUCAGAAGCACAGGGAGGCACGGGAACCUGGUCCCAGGCCCUGGCUUGCUGGAGCGAAGGAAUCUAUUGCUUCGGCCACUCGGUCAGAAUCCCUCGGAGAUUGAUGUGAUAUGCACAGUGACACCCAAUCGGGCUUGGAAAACUGGGCCAACAGUUAAGCCACACAAAGGAACUAACCACAGCUCCACUGGCAACUGGCUCCUUGGCAAGUGCCAAAACAAACAGCUGUGGUGCAGGCCUUCCCCGGGCUGCCGGCUUCCUGGACACUGGCAGAGGCCGCUCAAGAAGGGAGUACCUGAGUAGGGUGUUGUUCAGUUGGUAGAACGUUUGCUUGCCUUCCAUGAAGCCCAGGGUUCUGUCUGCACCUCAUACCUGUGAUCCUAGCAGUUGGGAAAAGACAGCAAGCACCCGGAUCAGAAGUUCAAGACCACCCUCCCCUUUAUAAAGGGAUCUGAGGCAGCCUGGGACAUCUGAAUGACAAAUGAAAAGAGCCGUGAGCUAUCUGGUGUUUUCUUCAUGGAAGUCCAAGUCUCCCCCUCAUUCCUCCCAGGAUUCUCCGAAUCUGGCUGUUGUCUUUUGCGAUAUUUUAGAAUAUUCUAGCCAGAGCGCAGAGUAUAAAAUACAAGUCAAAGGCAAUGAGCAUAUGUUAGAUGGAUGGAGGAGGGCCUAAAAAUGCUGGUGCUGGGGAGGAAAAAUGGCUCAGCAGUUAAGAGCACCGGCUGCUUUUACAGAGGACCUGCCUUCAGUUCACAGCAACCGCAUGACGGCAACUCUGGUUCCAGGAAAUCCAAUGCCCUCUUCUGACCUCUAUAGGCACCCGGCAAGCACACAGUGCACAGACAAUCAUACACACGUGUAAAUAUGUAAAAUAAAAGAGUUCACGACUCUCUUCCUACAUAAA
rnacentral:lncRNA from 1 species